CUGGUUCUGUGAUGAAUAAAAUCAAAUCACCAUCUUUCGGCUGAGCUCGUGAUGGAUUUGCUUUUUUCUGAUAAAGCUG
rnacentral:snoRNA from 1 species